GUGCUUGCUUCGGUAGUACAUACACUAAAAUUGGAGCAAUACAGAGAGAUUAGCAUGGACCCUGUGCAAGGAUGACAUGCAAAUUCAUGAAGCGUUCCAUAUUUUU